rnacentral:rRNA from 1 species
GAUGAACGCUGGCGGCGGGCCUAAUACAUGCAAGUCGAGCGAGGGGGGGACGGGUGAGUAACACGUGGAUAACCUCCUAUAAGGCUGGGAUAACUACGGGAAACCGGAGAUAAACCGGUUACUUAUAGAUGGUUCCUCGUUGCAUUAGCUAGUUGGUAAGGUAACGGCUUACCAAGGCAACGAUGCAUAGCCGACCUGAGAGGGUGAUCGGCCACACUGGAACUGAGACACGGUCCAGACUCCUACGGGAGGCAGCAGUAGGGAAUCUUCCGCAAUGGGCGAAAGCCUGACGGAGCAACGCCGCGUGUGUGAUGAAGGUCUUCGGAUUGUAAAGCUCUGUUAUUAGGGAAGCGGUACCUAAUCAGAAAGCCACGGCUAACUACGUGCCAGCAGCCGCGGUAAUAC